AUGAGGAGAGAGAGGAGGAAGCAUGGUGGACAGCCUUUGAGUGAAGAUCAACAUGAAGAACAUGAUCUUCUGUAUUCUGUAAUGUUGAGCAAACUUGACUUUAAAAGCUGCAGGACAAAUGCCUUCUAUGAUCUUGGAACUACCAUCUUUCCUCUUCUCCUAUUAUGUCUGGAUCACCAUUCCUUCUUCCCCAACUUUUUAACAAAUUAGGGAUGGAUGGAGCCUACAUCUGCUGCUGAUGAAAGGACCCCAAGGAAAGACUCUUCCUGAGGAAGAGGAUGUGUUCCAAGUGAUGUACUAAGAAUGCAAGCCAACUGCUGAGUGGGACCAAGCCAGAGUGCACAGGGUCACCAAGUCCAAGGAGGGGCUAGGCAGAGUUGGGAAAAGCACCCAUAGGAACAAUCCAAACCAAGGAAUCAGGGAGAAAAUUCAUUCUGAUAGGGAAACAGUAGGCCUCCAUGAGAUGACAGUUUUGUCUUGGGCAGUUUUCCCACUGGAGAUAGCAUCAUUUUAUACUACUGGCCUGCUAACUCCUUAAAAUCCCCCUCUCAUGGAAUAAUGGGACCAGGGCACAUCUGUCACUAGAAAUACUUUCUCUUCAUAUAUAGGAUAACAAGAAUAACAAUAGUUAGUGUUUAUACAGCUCUUUAAGGUUUACAGCAGACUUUGCAUAUGUCAUCUCCUUUGAUCUACCUAGGGAGGUGCUAUUUUGUCCCCACUUUGCAAAUGAAGAAACUGAGGCAGACCAAUGUUAGGGGUCAGCUGGGAAAUAUCUGAGAUUAGAAUUGAACUCAGAUCUCUAGUCUUGGUUCUCUGUCCACUCUACUGCCUAGAGUUAGAUGAACCAUCAGAAGCCAUCUAAUCCAACUCCUCAUUUUACACAUGAGGAAAUUGAGGUCUAGGGAUUUUAGAAUCCUUGCCCAAGAUGACUUAAAGACUAUAUGUCAGGGAUCCAAGACAAUUUCAAAGGACUCAGGAUGCAAAUUCUCUUUACCUCCAGAGAGAGAAAUGAUGAACUCUGAGCGCACAUGGAAGCAUACUUUUUUUCAUUUAUUUUAUUUUUUCUUGCUUUUUUUUCAACAUGGCUAAUAUGGAAAUAUGUUCUGCAUGACUUCACAUGUAUAAUUGAUAUCAUAUUGCUUGCUUUCUCAAAUGGUGGGGGAGGAGCUGGAGGAAGAGAAUUUAGAACUCAAAGUUUAAAAAAUGCUAAAAAUAAACAAUAAGUAAAUAAAAACAAACAAAUAAAUGGAAUUUAGCAUCAAAAGAGAAAAAAAAAAACCACGUGUCAAGGGUGGGAUUUAAACCCAGAUCAUCUAAUUCAAGACCUAACAUUUUGUCCCCAGCCUCAGCAGCCUCAGCAUUUUAACAGUUAUCUUCCCACUGCAGGCAUCAUCUCUCUGCCUCUGAGGUCUGGAAUCACCUUGUCUUCACUGCCCAAGUCUUCAGCCUCAUCGCUUAGAUAGCUCUUAGGAUCGUUUCAACACAGCAUCCCCUGAGCAAUAAUGCACCAGUCCCACAGUACCCAGGGCCACACAUUUUUAGUAGAAAUAUUUUCCCUUAGAAGCACAUAGUGGCACCAUUAAUACUUUUUUGCAAGUACAUACACCUUACAGAAUAAAAGGAAAGACAAU
ensembl:lncRNA